rnacentral:misc_RNA from 1 species
GAUGAAGAACGUAGCGAAAUGCGAUACUUGGUGUGAAUUGCAGAAUCCCGUGAGCCAUCGAGUCUUUGAACGCAAGUUGCGCCUCAAGCCAUUAGGUUGAGGGCACGUCUGCCUGGGCGUCACAUAUCGUUGCCUGAUGCCAGUUUCCUCGUGAUGGGUGACUGUGCAGGGCGAAUGAUGGCUUCCCGUGAGCAUUGUUGCCUCAUGGUUGGUUGAAAAUUGAGUCCUUGGUAGGGAGCGCCGUGAUAGAUGGUGGUUGAGUGACGAACGAGACCCAAUCAUGUGAGACCCCUACCGAAUUUGGCCUUCAUGACCCACAUGCGUCUUUGGAACGCUCAUGACGAGACCUCAGGUCAGGCGGGGCUACCCGCUGAGUUUAAGCAUAUCAAUAAGCGGAGGA